GCACGAACUCAAUUUUAGAUGAAUAUAGUGGUAGGGCCAAUAAUUGCAUACCUUUCCAUUGUGAUGAACAUUAUCAUAUGUGUUGCUUUGUUUCAUAAAAAGAUAAGGUUACCUAGAACCUUAUUAAUGCAAGGAUUAGCUUUUGCAGACGGACUCACGGAUUUAAACCUUUUUUUAAUUUGCAUUAUGAAUAGAUAGGAAAUGAUACUUAUAGUAUCAAUAACAUGAAA
rnacentral:lncRNA from 1 species